CCCUUAGAUGUUCUGGGCCGCACGCGCGCUACACUGACGAAUGCAACGAGCUUAUAACCUUGGCCGAAAGGUCUGGGUAAUCUCCAAAUUUCGUCGUGAUGGGGAUAGAUUAUUGCAAUUAUUAAUCUUCAACGAGGAAUGCCUAGUAAGCGCAAGUCAUCAGCUUGCGUUGAUUACGUCCCUGCCCUUUGUACACACCGCCCGUCGCUCCUACCGAUUGAAUGGUCCGGUGAAGCGCACGGACCGCGGCCUCUUGACGGUUCGCUGUCGAUUGGCUGUGGGAAGUUCGUUAAACCUUAUCAUUUAGAGGAAGGAGAAGUCGUAACA
rnacentral:rRNA from 1 species